rnacentral:lncRNA from 1 species
UUUCUGGCACUUUCCUUUACUAUUUAUGGAGCAAUGACCCCUUAAAUGAGCAUAAUUUGUAUUAAAAGGUCAAUUUUGGUACUUUUUGCCCAUAAUUUUAAUUGUUUUUGGCAUAAUUAACUUUAGCCUCCAUCUACGAUCCAAAAAGUUUUUAUAUUGAUGAAAUCUAUAUCAAUAUUGGAAUCUUUUGGUUACAACACAUUCUGGAUCGUAGGUGGCGGCCA